rnacentral:lncRNA from 1 species
GUUAAGUUUUUUAAAGCAAUGUAUCUGCAUGAUGAGAAUGAGCCUUGUAAAAUGUUAUUGGCAGCAUUCUACAAAGUUGGAAGAGUGAUUGCCAUUGAUGAAGACCACCCACCAAACUGUGUGACAUACAAAAUAGCCAAUGGAGACACCCAGGUUAUACAAAGAUUCUGGAUUCAUCCUCUCUCUGGAAUGAUCGAACUUACCACACAGCCAGACUAUGAGUCUGUGAAGCAAUAUAACCUCACCGUGGAAGCUGUGGACUGUGACAGAUUUCACUCUCAUACAGCAAUGACUAUGAGGAAUUAAGUAUAUUGUAGGUAAGAUACAGAUUGUUAAUUGUUACAUGACUAUGCUUGAAUUGUGUGAUUUUUAAAAAGCCACUCUUCAGAUACUUGACUUUUAUUUAUUUAUUUUAUAAUAGGCAAAGGAAAUCAAAAGGAAAUUAUUGCCACAGGAAACAGAAAUAAAAAAUUAGAAGUGUUAACAGUAAGUACAUUUUUGUGAACCUCUACAGUAAAAGAAAGAGAACAUUUUUCCUUGUAAUUGUUGUUCAAUGAGAAGUUCUUUCAUAUAAACAUAUGGUAAACAUACUCAAUCAUCAUAGGAAGUAAAAGAAUUUCAAUUUAUCUCCUUUUGCUGAAUUUGUGUGCAUUACAAAACUGUAAAUUCAGGUUAAGUUUUAGAAUUUGGCUUAGAUCAAAAUCUGCCUCAAGUACUACACAUGCAUUCAAGAAAAAAAAAAAAAAAAACCUCUAGACAAAGUGAACCUUAGCAUUAUUCACCAUUCUUAAAAAUAAAACCUAGUCCAGGCAUGGUGGCUCACACCUGUAAUUCCAGCACUUUGGGAGGCUGAGAAGGGCAGAUGACUUGAGGUCAGGAACUUGAGACCAGCCUGGGCAACAUGGCAAAACCCUGUCUCUACUAAAAAUACAAAAAUUAGCUAGGUAUAGUGGUGCACGCCUGUAGUCCCAGCUAUUGGGACACUGAGGCAUGAGAAUUGCUUGAGCCCGGGAGGUGGAGGUUGCAGUGAGUCAAGAUCAUGUCAUUGCACUCCAGUCUGGGUGAUAGAAUGAGACUCCAUCUAAAAAAUAAGUAAAUAAAAUAGAAAUAAACAUAAACACUGUAUUUGUAAGUAGUUUAUACACGUGAUUGAUCUAAAUAAGUUCUUCAACCCUGGAGUUUCUUAGCAGAUGUUAAAAAAUCUAAACCCUAGAGUAUGCAAACCAUCUUCAAAUUGGCUGAGGCUCAUUCACUAAAUGAUCCAUAUAAAUGACUGUACAAGGAUAAGGCUGGUUCCAGGAAAAGCCAAUGUAGAAUGGAACAAGGAGGGCAUUUUUAGUCUUCAUUUCCUU